CGCACACACACACACUCUCUCUCUCUCUCUCUCUCUCUCAUUCUUUUGCUUUAUAUAUGUUCACCUGCUCUAGCAAUUUGUCACUCGCUUCUCCAGACAAACUAGCCUCCACCUCUUUUACUCCAAACUUCUGCUCCAUUACACUCUUGCUUAUUUUUCUCCUGUAAAAAGAGAGAAAUUGGAAAUUAAUAAUGGAAAAGGUGAACUCAAAGCUGGAGAUGGAGAACAUCCACAUCAUGCAAGAGAACGAGAGGCUGAGGAAGACGGCGGAGCUUCUUGACCAAGAGAAUCGGGCCCUUCUCACUCAGCUCAAGCAGAGGCUCGCCGUCGCCGGAAAUUCCACCUCCAAAUCUCCACACCCUCCAAGUCCACCACCAAGAAAUGAGAACCGGCAUUUUAUGGAGCCCCGACCCAUCUGCCCACCAUUAGGAGUGUCUCCACAUAUAUAUAUAUAUAGAGAGAGAGAGAGAGAGAGAAUUCUGUGUGCGUGUGUGUGUGUUUUGUUCUUUUUGCCUUCCGUGGUGUGAGUUACGUAGAACAAUAGGUGCAUUUUCUUCAACUUGAAAAUGUUAAUCAUUUUAAUUUCAUUUUGAAAGGAUCAUGAAAAUUUACUUUGUUUGAUC